UCUAUUAAAUAAUGGAUCAUGAUUACUUUUAAUCUAAUAAAUGCAAAUUUAAAGAGAACAAAUCUAUUUACUUAUGUUUUUUUUUUUUUCACUUUUUAUAUAAAUAUCAUCAUACUCAUUUUCUUCGUCACAUUCAUAAAUCUUCUCACACAUUCAUAUCUUUUAUGCACACUUAACUUGUCCACACAUACUUCCAUACUUAUUUUUCUCAUCCACACACAUUCAUCUAUAUUUUUUUUCCUCAUCUCCUCCAUCCAUAUUCUUCUUCGCUUAUCUUUCAUCCACAUUCUCCAUAUAUUUCCUUUCUUCAAAUGCAUUUCUUCUAUCCACAUUCACCCCU
rnacentral:lncRNA from 1 species